rnacentral:rRNA from 1 species
AAUCAACGCUGGCGGCGUGCCUAACACAUGCAAGUCGAACGCGAAAGGGGCUUCGGUCCUGAGUAGAGUGGCGGACGGGUGAGUAACACGUGGAUGACCUGCCCUCGAGUGGGGGAUAACUCUUCGAAAGGGGAGCUAAGACCGCAUGAGCUCCCGGGGGCGACUCUGGGAGGAAAGCCUGAGGGUGCUGGAGGAGGGGUCCGCGACCGAUUAGCUGGUUGGUGGGGUAAGGCCUACCAAGGCGACGAUCGGUAGCCGGUCUGAGAGGACGGACGGCCACACUGGAACUGAGAGACGGUCCAGACUCCUACGGGAGGCAGCAGUGGGGAAUUUUGCGCAAUGGGCGCAAGCCUGACGCAGCAACGCCGCGUGGAGGAUGAAGGUUUUCGGAUUGUAAACUCCUGUCCCGGGGAAGAAGGCAGUGACGGUACCCUGGGAGGAAGCCCGGCUAACUCCGUG